rnacentral:rRNA from 1 species
GACGAACGCUGGCGGCGUGCUUAACACAUGCAAGUCGAACGGUGAAGCGCCUUCCUUUUUGGUGGGUGUGGAUGAGUGGCGAACGGGUGAGUAACACGUGAGUAACCUGCCCCCUUCUUCUGGAUAACCGCAUGAAAGUGUGGCUAAUACGGGAUAUUCUGGGUCUGUCGCAUGAUGGGUCUGGGAAAGAUAUUGUUUCGGUGGGGGAUGGGCUCGCGGCCUAUCAGCUUGUUGGUGGGGUGAUGGCCUACCAAGGCGGUGACGGGUAGCCGGCCUGAGAGGGUGGACGGUCACACUGGGACUGAGACACGGCCAAGACUCCUACGGGAGGCAGCAGUGGGGAAUAUUGCACAAUGGGCGCAAGCCUGAUGCAGCGACGCCGCGUGAGGGAUGGAGGCCUGCGGGUUGUGAACCUCUUUCGCCAGUGAAGCAGGCCUGCCUCGUUUGUGGGUGGGUUGACGGUAGCUGGAUAAGAAGCGCCGGCUAACUACGUG